AUGGCGGAGGAACCAUCUGCCAAGCGUCCCCGUGGUGAGACGUCCGACCAGAGCACCGAGGUCGACGACGUUCAGGUCCCCGGUCAGAAGCACGACUACAAAAGGCACCUCAAGGAGGUUGACAUCCACGGCAAGGAAAAGCUGGAUGUCGUAUGCACCAGCAAUCCUGACGAAGCCGACAAGAUGAUCAGCAGGAUCCUGAAGAGGGUCUGCGGCUUGUACCCUCAGUACAUCGGCGUUGAUGUCGAGUAUACCAGGGAAGACGAACCUCCGCAGAGGGCAGCGGUUCUGCAGUUAUGCGUGGAGGAACUCUGUCUGGUAUACCACAUCACCGCGGCAACAAAAUGGCCCAAGAGCCUGCGCCCAUUCCUGAAGGAGGACAGGUUCUACACCUUUGCCGGCUUCAGUAUUGAAGGUGACAAAGAGAUGUUGCGAUGA
rnacentral:rRNA from 1 species